rnacentral:rRNA from 1 species
CAGUAGCCGCGGUAACACCGAGGGUGCGAGCGUUAAUCGGAUUUACUGGGCGUAAAGCGUGCGUAGGCGGCUUUUUAAGUCGGAUGUGAAAUCCCUGAGCUUAACUUAGGAAUUGCAUUCGAUACUGGGAAGCUAGAGUAUGGGAGAGGAUGGUAGAAUUCCAGGUGUAGCGGUGAAAUGCGUAGAGAUCUGGAGGAAUACCGAUGGCGAAGGCAGCCAUCUGGCCUAAUACUGACGCUGAGGUACGAAAGCAUGGGGAGCAAACAGGAUUAGAUACCCGUGUAGUCCCUGUCUCUUAUAC